rnacentral:lncRNA from 12 species
CAGGGCUGACUAUUAGUUUUGUUGAUUCUUUUUCUUCNNNNNNNNNNCAUGCAACCCUCUCCCUGGCGAGGGGAGCGCGGGUGCGAGCCGCGGAAGCCAGCCCGCGCUGCAGGGAGCCCGCGGGCGAAGGAGGCUCUCCCGCUCCGAGCCUACCUCCGGGCGGUCACCACGCGCCGGGCCCCGCCCCGAGAGCGUGUCACCGCGGGUGACGGCCCGGCGGCCAAUCAGCGGGCGUCCUCGCCCGGCGCGCGGGCCAAUCGGGGAGCUCCUCUCAGGGUGGAGGCGGGAGCAAUGUUUUCGGAGAGGAGGGAGGACGGCGGGCCUGCAGGUCGGGGCGGACGGUCCUCCCCCCACCCCCGGAGGCUGCGGGGCGGCGGGGCUGCGGGCUGCGGGCUGCGGUCGCGAGCAACCGGCCCGGGGGGAGGGCGGGUGGGGUGCGCAGAGGGUGGGCGCCGUGAGCGAGCGAGCAGGCGGGCGGGGGCCGCUCGGGGCUGGGAGCCAUCGCCCUCUCCCCGCAGAGGGGCUCCCCUGGGGCCCGGUGGGCGCUCCGGCGGGGGGCACACCUGGCCUCGCCCCGACUCGGCUGCCCGGCCGGAGGGAGCGGACCGGACCGCCUUCCCGAAGCUCGUGCCCCCUCCGCAGAGGAAAAACACCAGGAGGCGUUUCAGCCCGGAUACAGAGGGUUCUAUGAAGAGAACAAAGUUGGAAUGUCUUAGGUCAUGAUGUUCUAUCACCAGGGUAACAUUACAGUAGGCUGAUCCAAACCAGUGGACUUCAAACAGGCUUUGGGUUGCUGUGCAUUAAAGGUAAUUUAUAAUAACAUACCUGUAGAAGCAAUAGUGUAUUUUCUAUAUAUACAGUUGAUUCUUGUUAUUGUAGUAGUUAUAUUCUGUAAAGAGGCCUCAAACAUUGAAUUAGCAAAUACCCCCGGCGCCUAGGGGAAAUACAGGGUUAGGUUCUUAUGAGCCUCUGGUCAUAACAUUUUUGUCACAAUCGAUAUGUAACUUUAUUUUAUGUAUCUAUUUGUGUAGAGGCACGUUAUUAUUUUUUAAAAUUUAUUUAUUCAUAAGAGACACAUAGAGAGAGGCAGAGACAUAGGCAGAGGGAGAAGUAGACUCUGCAAGGAGCUUGAUGUUGGACUGGAUCCUGGUCCCCCGGAUCAGGCCCUGUGCCAAAGGCAGAUGCUCAACCACUGAUCCACCCAGGUGUCCCUAGAGGCACAUUAUUUAAUAUUUACUGUUGAUUCAUUAACAUUGAAUUCCCAGGGAUGCCUAGGUGCCUCAGGGGUUGAGCGGCUACCUUUGCCCUGGGCGUGAUCCUGGGGUCCCAGGAUAGAGUCCCACAUGGGGCUCCCUGCAGGAAACCUGCUUCUCCCUCUGCCUGUGUCUCUGCCUCUCUGUCUCUGUCUCUGUCUCUCUCUGUGUCUCUCAUGAAUAAAAAGAUUUUAUUUAUUUAUUCCUGAGAGACA